UCGAGGAUCUUCGGCAAUGGGCGCAAGCCUGACCGAGCGACGCCGCGUGUGCGAUGAAGGCCUUCGGGUUGUAAAGCACUGUCGAGGGGGAGAAAAGCCGAAAGGCUUGAUCUAUCCCUGGAGGAAGCACGGGCUAAGUUCGUGCCAGCAGCCGCGGUAAGACGAACCGUGCAAACGUUGUUCGGAUUCACUGGGCUUAAAGGGCGCGUAGGCGGGCGGUCAAGUCAGGGGUGAAAGCCUCCAGCUCAACUGGAGAAGUGCCUCUGAUACUGAUCGUCUUGAGGGAGGUAGGGGCAUGUGGAACUUCCGGUGGAGCGGUGAAAUGCGUAGAUAUCGGAAGGAACGCCGGUGGCGAAAGCGACGUGCUGGACCUCUUCUGACGCUGAGGCGCGAAAGCCAGGGGAGCAAACGGGAUUAGAUACCCCUGUAGUCC
rnacentral:rRNA from 1 species